rnacentral:rRNA from 1 species
GAUGAACGCUGGCGGCGUGCCUAAUACAUGCAAGUCGAGCGAACAGUUAAGGAGCUUGCUCCUUUGACGUUAGCGGCGGACGGGUGAGUAACACGUGGGUAACCUACCUAUAAGACUGGAAUAACUCCGGGAAACCGGGGCUAAUGCCGGAUAACAUUUAGAACCGCAUGGUUCUAAAGUGAAAGAUGGUUUUGCUAUCACUUAUAGAUGGACCCGCGCCGUAUUAGCUAGUUGGUAAGGUAACGGCUUACCAAGGCAACGAUACGUAGCCGACCUGAGAGGGUGAUCGGCCACACUGGAACUGAGACACGGUCCAGACUCCUACGGGAGGCAGCAGUAGGGAAUCUUCCGCAAUGGGCGAAAGCCUGACGGAGCAACGCCGCGUGAGUGAUGAAGGCCUUCGGAUCGUAAAACUCUGUUAUUAGGGAAGAACAAAUGUGUAAGUAACUGUGCACGUCUUGACGGUACCUAAUCAGAAAGCCACGGCUAACUACGUG